AUUGAACGCUGGCGACAGGCCUAACACAUGCAAGUCGAACGGAGCGGCGGACGGGUGAGUAAUGACUAGGAAGCUGCCUGGUAGUGGGGGAUAACGUCCGGAAACGGGAGCUAAUACCGCAUACUAGCAGAUGAGCCAAGGUCGGAUUAGCUAGUUGGUGGGGUAAAGGCCUACCAAGGCGACGAUCCGUAACUGGUCUGAGCGGAUGAUCAGGCACACUGGAACUGAGACACGGACCAGACUCCUACGGGAGGCAGCAGUGGGGAAUAUUGGACAAUGGGCGAAAUCCUGAGCCAGCCAUGCCGCGUGUGAGAAGAAGGUCUUCGGAGUGUAAAGCACGUUAAGUUGGGAGGCGUUACCAACAGAAUAAGCACCGGCUAACUUCGUGCCAGCAGCCGCGGUAAUAC
rnacentral:rRNA from 1 species